rnacentral:rRNA from 1 species
AAUGAACGCUGGCGGCGUGCCUAACACAUGCAAGUCGCGCGCGAAAAGGCGCAAGCCUUAGUAGAGCGGCGGACGGGUGAGUAACACGUGGGUAAUCUGCCUAGGAGCGGGGGAUAACCU